UACGUAGGGGGCAAGCGUUGUCCGGAAUCAUUGGGCGUAAAGCGCGUGUAGGCGGCUUCGUAAGUCCGUUGUGAAAGUCCAGGGCUCAACCCUGGAAUGCCGAUGGAUACUGCGGAGCUAGAGUCCGGAAGAGGCGAGUGGAAUUCCCGGUGUAGCGGUGAAAUGCGCAGAUAUCGGGAGGAACACCAAUGGCGAAGGCAGCUCGCUGGGACGUGACUGACGCUGAGACGCGAAAGCGUGGGGAGCAAACAGG
rnacentral:rRNA from 1 species